GAUGAACGCUGGCUACAGGCUUAACACAUGCAAGUCGAGGGGAAACGGCAUUGAGUGCUUGCACUGAAUGGACGUCGACCGGCGCACGGGUGAGUAACGCGUAUCCAACCUUCCCGUUACUGCGGGAUAACCUGCCGAAAGGCAGACUAAUACCGCAUGUUCUUCGAUGACGGCAUCAGAUUCGAAGCAAAGAUCCGUCGGUAACGGAGGGGGAUGCGUCUGAUUAGCUAGUUGGCGGGGCGACGGCCUACCAAGGCGACGAUCAGUAGGGGUUCUGAGAGGAAGGUCCCCCACAUUGGAACUGAGACACGGUCCAAACUCCUACGGGAGGCAGCAGUGAGGAAUAUUGGCCAAUGGGCGGAAGCCUGAACCAGCCAAGUAGCGUGCAGGAUGACGGCCCUACGGGUUGUAAACUGCUUUUAUGCGGGGAUAAAGUGAGGGACGCGUCCCUUUUUGCAGGUACCGCAUGAAUAAGGACCGGCUAAGUCCGUG
rnacentral:rRNA from 1 species